rnacentral:rRNA from 1 species
AGCGGAUGACCUGUGGCUGGGGGUGAAAGGCCAAUCAAACCGGGAGAUAGCUGGUUCUCCCCGAAAGCUAUUUAGGUAGCGCCUCGUGAAUUCAUCUCCGGGGGUAGAGCACUGUUUCGGCUAGGGGGCCAUCCCGGCUUACCAACCCGAUGCAAACUGCGAAUACCGGAGAAUGUUAUCACGGGAGACACACGGCGGGUGCUAACGUCCGUCGUGAAGAGGGAAACAACCCAGACCGCCAGCUAAGGUCCCAAAGUCAUGGUUAAGUGGGAAACGAUGUGGGAAGGCCCAGACAGCCAGGAUGUUGGCUUAGAAGCAGCCAUCAUUUAAAGAAAGCGUAAUAGCUCACUGGUCGAGUCGGCCUGCGCGGAAGAUGUAACGGGGCUAAACCAUGCACCGAAGCUGCGGCAGCGACACUAUGUGUUGUUGGGUAGGGGAGCGUUCUGUAAGCCUGCGAAGGUGGCCUGUGAGGGUUGCUGGAGGUAUCAGAAGUGCGAAUGCUGACAUAAGUAACGAUAAAGCGGGUGAAAAGCCCGCUCGCCGGAAGACCAAGGGUUCCUGUCCAACGUUAAUCGGGGCAGGGUGAGUCGACCCCUAAGGCGAGGCCGAAAGGCGUAGUCGAUGGGAAACGGGUUAAUAUUCCCGUACUUGGUGUUACUGCGAAGGGGGGACGGAGAAGGCUAUGUUGGCCGGGCGACGGUUGUCCCGGUUUAAGCGUGUAGGUGUGUGUUCCAGGUAAAUCCGGUU